GAACCGGACCGCAUCGCCCCCCGCAGCUUCCUCCUACCCAAGCACCGCUCGCGCCCGCAAGCCGCCUCGCCGGUGACCCCACACCUCCGUCACGCCCCGCCGGACCUCCUGCUGCUCCGCCGCCUCGCCCGUCUCCCUUCUCCUCCUUCCUCUCGAUCUCCUCUGAUCUCUCUCCCUCUUUCUCGCUGACUAGGGACCUAUGGGAGGGCCACCGACCCUCAAUCUCGCCAGAUCUGGCUGCGUCCAGGCCAUAUCCGUCGGAAAUGGAUCCACCCCGGCCAGAUCCACCCGGAUCCGAUCGGUCCCCGCCGUUGUGAGUACCGGAGGGCCGUGACGCUCGACGUGCAGCGUUGCCGCCGCCUGUCCUUGCCGUGGUUGUGCCGCCAGUGAUGUGCGGCGCGCUAGCCUCCUCCCGACCACGCACCCCGGGGACUCCUCCCUACUCCAUUCUCGGUGAGUCGCGCCGCCCCCGACCACGUUGGGACUUGGGACACAUCUCCUCUCGGCUCCAUCCCAGUGACAGCGCAGCUCCUCCUCCCUGUCUCCUGCUGGUGAAAGCUCUGGUUGUUCCUUUGGUUCGUUGUUCUUCCCAGCCAUAAGAGAUUUGCUUUUGCAUCAAGUUGCAGGACAUAUGUUUGAUACAAUGUCCUCAAGAAUAGUCAUGUGUAUCGCACGGUGCAGCCCCAUCGCCAAGGUUGCCCGGAUGCUGAUCACCAGUGCGGCAUUGUCAGUGGCAUGCUGCCUGGCCGGAUCUGCAACUACACGGUUAAGGAGGAGAUAGUUGAGAUCAAUCCUGAGAUUUGUAGUAUGCAUGAUUGCGUGGACAUGGCGGCGGCCAUAGCCCGAUAGCAAGAAAAAGCACAACGUACUCCUGUGUAUUAUGGUUGAGGCUCUGAUAAUGGACAUAACACAACUGCUGGAGACGAGAUUAAAAUAUGGAAGAUAGCAGCAGAGGAGGAAGCUGAAGUUGGUAGAUCAAUUGGCCAAGAGUUCCAGACCCAGGCCAUAAUUAGUUUCCCGACACAUUGAUGAUUGGGAGAAGUACAUAGAAUGCCCCUGUAUAGGUGCGUACAGAAUGACGAUUGGGAGUUUUCUUAAGCAAACAAUGCAGAGAAACAAGAGUAACAAGCACGGACUAGCAGAUCAUAUAAAUGUAUGGUAGCGAUUCAUCAGUCAUGGUCCAAGAAUGACAGGGAAAUUAAAACUAAGCAACACAUGCCUGCAUAAUAGCAGAACCAAAGCAAGAGAAGAACGUUGAUUAGCAGGCCGACAACGACGCCUGCUAAGGGAGCAUCCACACGUGCAUCCUUUUGCCACUACCAAAGCCCCAUAUCCUCGAGCUUGACAAGCUCGUGUGCCAUUCUGGCCGACGUCCUCUCCAUGGCCCCCAAGCCUCGCAACGAGAGCACGUUGGCACACCAGGAUGAGGACAAUCACGCUUACAAACAAGUUUUUUUCCAUGAAAACACAGCUUUUGUUUCUGGGCAGCAUGUUCCUCCUGGGCAUCAACACUGAGCAGCAUUGAACCAAAGGUUCUUAGUAGAUGAAGGACAAAGUCCGCGCCAAGAAGACCAUUAUGAUGGAUUCAAGAGAAUCAAGAGUGAAGCAUCAAGAUAUGAUAAAUAUGUCGAUGACAAAUAUGCGUACCGAGACACAAGUGGUUUCAGAUAUCUUUGGUUGAUUUGGAUCUGCUCACAUAGAGAAAGGAUGGCCACAUAUAUAUGGUAGUUACUUCCAUGUCACAGAUGUGUUCUUUAGUAGGUACUGCACAAUCACAUUGUUGUGAACAACAAUCACAUUCUCGGUGUUGUUGCCAUAUCAUAUGUCUCUAGAGUGUUUGAUCAUAAUUUAGAUAAUUGAUCCGAUGUUGCUCAUCUUUCAGUAUAAUGUCUUUGUUUUUCUGAUUUA